CAGUCGCCACGGUAAUACGGAGGGAGCUAGCGUUGUUCGGAAUCACUGGGCGUAAAGCGCACGUAGGCGGCUACUCAAGUCAGGGGUGAAAGCCCGGGGCUCAACCCCGGAACUGCCUUUGAAGCUAGGUAGCGUGAAUCUUGGAGAGGCGAGUGGAAUUCCGAGUGUAGAGGUGAAAUUCGUAGAUAUUCGGAAGAACACCAGUGGCGAAGGCGACUCGCUGGACCAGUAUUGACGCUGAGGUGCGAAAGCGAGGGGAGCAAACAGGAUUAGAUACCCCCGUAGUCCCUGUCUCUUAUAC
rnacentral:rRNA from 1 species